GGAAAGAUUACUGGCGUUGCUUGUUGGUUCAAGUUAGGAAGAAUUUUUGAACGCCGAAAAACAGACGAAAAUAUUUGUAUUUUAUGACCGAUUUAAGAAACUCAUUAUUCCACCCUAUUUGUCUAAUAAAAUUCAAAUUGACCAACCGCUUAAAGCCAUUGAAUUUUGUUUUCAAUCGUUGGAUUUUUUAAAUUUGAUUAUUU
rnacentral:lncRNA from 1 species